rnacentral:ncRNA from 1 species
ACAAAGGCUCUUUUCAGAGCCACCCUAAACUGUCCUUGAAGAAGCUG